rnacentral:rRNA from 1 species
UAGUCCACGCCGUAAACGAUGUCUACUAGCCGUUGGGAGACUUGAUUUCUUAGUGGCGCAGCUAACGCACUAAGUAGACCGCCUGGGGAGUACGGCCGCAAGGUUAAAACUCAAAUGAAUUGACGGGGGCCCGCACAAGCGGUGGAGCAUGUGGUUUAAUUCGAUGCAACGCGAAGAACCUUACCAGGUCUUGACAUCCUGCGAAUUUUCUAGAGAUAGAUUAGUGCCUUCGGGAACGCAGUGACAGGUGCUGCAUGGCUGUCGUCAGCUCGUGUCGUGAGAUGUUGGGUUAAGUCCCGUAACGAGCGCAACCCCUGCCUAUAGUUGCCAGCAAGUAAUGUUGGGGACUCUAUAGGGACUGCCUGCGCAAGCAGAGAGGAAGGAGGGGACGACGUCAAGUCAUCAUGGCCCUUACGCCCAGGGCUACACACGUGCUACAAUGGAGAGUACAGAGGGUAGCGACAUAGCAAUAUGAAGCCAAUCUCAAAAAGCU